GGGGUUGUGUCUCAGUGGUAUAGCACUCACCUAGCAUGUGUGGGGCCCUGGGUUCAAUCCUCAGCACCACA
rnacentral:tRNA from 1 species